rnacentral:rRNA from 1 species
AUGGACUCUACUACAACCCAUCAAGCACCACGAGGAGGACUAGUGACAAGAUCUUGCGCACGUGCCAUCGAAACCGAGGUUAACUCUUUCCUCUUCGAGCUUCAUUCGGAUUCACAUGAGAGUUGGAUUCUACCUCAAAUGGAAAGCUUAUGCAUUCUGAGGUACCACGGAGAAGUCCAUGAAGAAGCUAGGAGCGAGACCCAAGUACACAUGGCGAAGGAGGAGGAAGGACACGCGAAGCACGAAGAAGCAGAAGUCCCGGACUACCCCGGGUGCCCGGACACAUGCAGCCCCGGAUGCCCGGCUGCCGGCUGGGAGCCGUCCCUCGACACCCCGAGUGCCCAGCCCCUGUCUGGACGCUGGCCUUGGCCGCCCUGGGUGCCGACCUUGGCCGCCUCGGGUGCCCAGCCCCCCUGCUUGGGCGCUCCUCCGCCCACCCCGGGUGCUCCGACCCUCAGCCCCUGGGUGCCUGACCCUCUACAACAGCCAAGGGCGCGGCCCCCUGGACACCCCGGGUGCCCGGGACCCAGGCCUCACACCCCUGGGUACCCUGCCCCCCUCCCCAGGCGUGCCCCAGGUGCCCGGCCCUCCGUCUCUCGGUGA